UACGUAGGGCGCAAGCGUUAUCCGGAAUUAUUGGGCGUAAAGAGCUCGUAGGCGGUUUGUCGCGUCUGCCGUGAAAGUCCGGGGCUCAACUCCGGAUCUGCGGUGGGUACGGGCAGACUAGAGUGCAGUAGGGGAGACUGGAAUUCCUGGUGUAGCGGUGAAAUGCGCAGAUAUCAGGAGGAACACCGGUGGCGAAGGCGGGUCUCUGG
rnacentral:rRNA from 1 species